UCAUCUUAUGAUAUAAAAAGCACACCCACUGUCAAAACCCUAGCCAAAUUCCCCAGACCACCACUCCCGUGACCCUUUCCUCUUCUCCAUGUGCGGCGGCUGGUGCAGCUGCGCCACUUCAUUGGCCCGGCCUGAGCUCCACCCUCCCAUGGAGCAACCGGCUCGGCCGCUCAGCCCCACCUCCCGCUCCUUCUUCUCCUCUACGCCGCUCGUCCGAGCCAGUAGCACAAAAUUGGUGGCCUAUAGCAUGCGGGGCGUCGCCCAUUGGAGAUCCGCCAUCGAGCCCCUGCCCCGUUCAGCUCGGUGCAAUCGUCGGCGUGGAGGGAGAACACGGUCAGCCAUGUCCAUGACGUAGUGCCCACCUCUGCCUCUUCUUUUAGGUUGCCUCUCUCCCUUACCCAUUUGCGUGUAAUAAUCUAGAGAAAUCUAUGCAAGCCAACUGUUUGAUGAUAUGUCUAGGAGUCAUGAAAUUGUGUUUUUGCGUUUUUUUAUGUUGUAGUUGUAUCCACUUUUCUUCUCUACAUGCCACCGUUAUUUGAUCCGCGAAAUUAUUGCUAUCUUCAUUAGCAGCAUCUUAUUGAAAUUACUGCUCAUAAGAGAAGCCACGUAUUUUAGAUUUUAAGUGGAAAGGCUUCAUCUGUUGUGCGUAUAACAGAUGAUGCAAGGUGUGCCAGUGUUCUUUUUGGAUAAUAUUUCUGGUUUUUGUGUAGGUUUUGCGCAGAUUUAUGAGAUGGAUUUUGGUAAUGAAACAUCAAUUAUGUCCUUGCCAGUGGUGUAAAUGAACCGAGAAACUACAGUAGGUAUGGAUUCAGUAUUUGUACUUCAAUUGAUCAGGUUUGUCAUUUCCUUUCUUUAUAUGGAUAAAAAGGAUAGGUUAAUAUGGGUUGUUCAUAUUCAUGUUUGUCUGUCCAAGUAAAAAGAGAAGGAGAGGAACCAGAUUAUUUUGUAGCCUGGUUUUCAGUUAUUCUUUGUUUCAGUGACUUUUUUUUGUGUGGAUCCAACAAUUAAAUUGUGUGGAGCAUCUAAGAAACGCGCUGAUGUCUGUUUGUCUAUUGUACAGAUAUAUUAUAUAUAUUCCCAGUUAAUUCAUCAAUUAUAUGAAGCCUGUUUUUCUCAAUGCUUUUGGUGUUCUAUACCACAGAAUGCCACCUUCCAAUAUGGUCUAUUUGCGAACUCAUAGAGAUUUGACUAUCGAUCCUGUUACAUAUUUUGAUUCCCUUGUCCUCUUCCACUAGGAUUCAACAUUCAUAAGUAAACACUAAAGGGUAUUCAUACUGCUUACUGCACACUAUGCUUACUAUAAUACUGUCUAUGGAAGCUUAAUGUAGGUUUAUUUCACAUGGACUAUAAGGCGGCCAUGUUGUUUUUAUCCCCACCCUCUCUUGGUUUAAUUCCUGGAGUUGCGUGUGUGAUUCUAAGGCUGGCGUUUAAGGUCAUCACUUCAUUACAUUUAAGAGGGAGGAAAUACUGGAAGCUUUUUGCAGCUACUUGUCUCUGCUAACGAUUGGCUUUCUUUUAUUAUGAUAUUUUCCUAUUUAUUCCAAUUUACUAAUAUAUAAAAAUGAUGCUCAUUCAUACAAUAACUUGGAUUAAUGCUCAUCCCAGAAGUGGCAAUAUUUUCUUAUGUACAUGAAUUAAUUAUUCUUGCAAAAUAUUGGCUACGGUGUUCCAUUCACUACACCAUAUUAAGUUACUAUGCUGAUACUAACAUGUUACAUUUCUGCCUGAUGGUAACUAGGAGUCAUGACGCACUACUGGAAUGCAGAUAAUGGUGUAGUAUCCUCCUGUAAUUCAUGUAACUAUUUCAUCUCAGUAACAUGGGUGUUAUCUUCCAUUUUCUAAUUGGCUCAUUGUAGGCUACCUGGUAAUGAUAUGACAAUUUGUUGAUUGUACCGCUGCUUAUUUGUCGUCAAUUCAAACACUACCAAGCAGUUAAUCUCUUUCUUAUUUUGUCACCUAUCUUAUAUUCCUGUAGGUUUGGUCAAUGACGAAUCGUUCAUGUGCGGUACAUAUUGAGUCAGCUCUUGAAAGUCCUCCUUGCUGAAAGUACUUGGCGUGUCAAGCAUGCGCCAAUGGGGGGUACAUGAGCAAGGAUGGCACAUCGCAAUAAUAGAUUGAUGUGUACCAGUUAUCGUGGCAGUAUAUUAUUCCGCCUCUCCCUCCUCUUUGGCCCUUAACGGGAGAAGCAGGUGGCUUCGCAUGGAACAUCACCUCACUGCAUUUGACCCUUCCGCAGGUAAGCAUGAUCGAAUCUCUGGGUCGCCCACCGGGCGCUAAUUUUUCCUCAACUUUAGAUAGCUAACGUUGACUUUUUGAAGUAGAUCUUUGAACCAUAGAUUGCAAUCCACUCAUGUGGCAUAUGAUCAAAAUCACAACCUAGCAAGAGACUCUGAUCUGCCCAAAGAUAGGUUUUCUUCCUUCAGAAUACUAAUGGCAACUGCAAUGUAGGAGGUAACAGGAAAUAAAUUGUUCUCUUUUGAGUGGUAUGUAUUCUUUAUACUUAGUUAAUGUGGAAAAUCUCGCUAUUUAGUUUUUAUUUCUUGAUACUUAUAUUGUUACCAAGUCCAGUAUCUAUGUCUUGGAGGAGUGGUUAUAUGCCUGAUGAAAAAAAGACUCUCCCUCAAAGUAAGAACAAAAGAAAGAGUGGUCCUCUCUUCUGAAAAACCACAAGCACCAAAACUCCAGAAACCAUGAUGCGUGUAUAUGUUGGAAAUUUGGUACUCAUGUAGUAGACCGCCUUUUUUUUGCACUGAUAAAUGGUUGGUAAGCCUCAUGCGGCUAAAUAUAAUUGAGUUAAUCAUCUACAUUAUAAAUCCUUGAUAUAGUUGAGUUAAUCAUCUACAUCAUACAGUAUGAAAUCCUUAGCAACUGUAUUCAAAUAUUCAAAUCUUCAUGUCAGUAGUAAUCAUAGCUGUUCUGUGAGAGAGCUUUAGAUAUGGCGUCUGUUGAGUACUUUAUCAACAUAAACUGGAGCUCACAAAUAUAUGGUAGUUAUCUUGCGUACAUAGCUGGCCACAUUUUCUGGUUUUAAAGCAUUUAUAAGAGUUCCCAUCUUUGUUCUUUUGACAUUGCCACGGUUAGCACUUGUGAUGAAAUGCUUCACAGCAUACAAUUUGUGCUAGAAACAUUUAGAAUGUUACUUAUCAGAGAAGUUCAUAAUUAGGUGCCACAACAUAGUAGCCUAACCUGUACAUAAUUAGGCAGCAUUGAACUUCAUGGCGAACAAAGUAUUGAAUCAACGAUUUCAUUUCCAUUUUCCACAUCGUUGGGUGGACAUGCUAUGUCAAUAUUAACAUUAGUUGAGUUAAUCAUCUACAUCAUACAGUAUGAAAUGCUUAGCAGUUGUAUUCAAAUAUUCAUACCACGCCAGAUGUACAAACUAUGUGUUCUUUUGGUUCUCUUUGUUAGCUCAUACUUCUUCUAUGUACCCAAUAAAAUGAAAUGAUGCAUUUUUCUUUUCAUUUAACCAAUGCGAGAGGUAGGGCCGUGUGCCAAGGUGCGCCCCAAAGUUCGGUUGCAGUCCAAGCAUUCAGAUACAUGGAGACUGUCAAAAAUGUCCUGAAGGACUUCAACUAUGCUGAGGUGGAAACAAAGAAGAAUGUGAGCGAGGUUCUUCUCUGGCAGAUGAAUGAAAAUGAUCAAAAACUGGAGAGAAGUCCAAUAAGCUGAAAGAAGUUGACAGAUCCUAUGGUAACCAAUAUUGUGUGUGUUUCCACCCAUCGCAUUCAAGAUAGUUUCACAGAACCUCAAUCCAAACUGCAGCCCCUUGUUUGAGACAUAGGUUGUGGCUACUGAUCUUAAUCAACAGCGUUGGAGUCCCAUGACAUGCUCAAGACCAUAGGGGCUUGUUCUAUAUUUGACUGAGUCUGAAUCAUUCGUGUUUAAUGUUUCGUCCAAAUUAUAUUUAAUAAUGGAACAACUCUCUGUCAACCCAUAUGAGAUGCCUCCGUGAUAUUUCGGAACCAUGUAUUAGUAUAUGUAUGCAAUAUAUUUUCCCUGUUCUCCUUUUCA